GUACGGGGGGAGCAAGCGUUGUUCGGAUUUACUGGGCGUAAAGGGCGCGUAGGCGGCGUGACAAGUCACUUGUGAAAUCUCCGGGCUUAACUCGGAACGGUCAAGUGAUACUGUCGUGCUAGAGUACAGAAGGGGCAACUGGAAUUCUCGGUGUAGCGGUGAAAUGCGUAGAUAUCGAGAGGAACACCUGCGGCGAAGGCGGGUUGCUGGGCUGAUACUGACGCUGAGGCGCGAAAGCUAGGGGAGCGAACGGG
rnacentral:rRNA from 1 species